CGUCUUGAGCCAGUUCAACCAAUAGCAGCGUCUGUUUUCCAGCCUAUGAUUGUACAGUAAAUACUAUGAGCUCUACCUCCUUCGCUCUCACUGCAGCGAUGAAAGCACAGGAAUGAAUCCAGGCAAGCCCGCGGACAUGCCAUAGAAACCACUCACUCGAGCUAAGAUAUACUUCCAAGCGUAGUAAGCUUGGUGAGAUCGCGUCCUUCGUUGUUUUAGUCGAUGAUAGGGAGCUUGUUCGGGUCUUGAAGGAAACCUGAGUAACCUGGAAAGCGAAAGAGGGGAGGGGGGGGGAUUCUCGGCCCACUGCAGUCUGAAUCAUCGGAGACUCGCCCCACCGCUGGUUGAACAUCGGUAUCUUUGACCGUCGACGUGCACUUCCUCACGGAGGGCAUACAGCACCGGGAAGGGACGGGAACCGAGCCCGUGCUUGAAACCUCUGCCGCAGCCCGAGGUGCGCUGCUUGGCAGAGCAUGCUAAAUAAUGAGCCAAAGGGACACACUGGUUCAUUUGUUCGCUGGAGGAUGUGGCGGCACUGUGGGGGCUAUUUUGACCUGUCCUCUUGAGGUUGUGAAGACCAGGCUGCAGUCCUCUUCCAUCAGUCUCUACGUCUCUGCAGUCCAGCUCAGCACCGUCAAUGGGGCCAGUGUGGCUCGCAUGGUUCCACCAGGACCUCUGCACUGUCUCAAGCUAAUUCUUGAAAGAGAGGGCCCUCGAUCACUCUUCAGAGGCCUUGGACCUAACCUUGUGGGCGUGGCGCCUUCCAGGGCAAUCUACUUUGCAGCCUAUUCUACAGCCAAGGAGAAGCUAAAUGGGGUGUUUGAACCAGACUCGACCCAGGUGCACAUGGUGUCCGCCGGGUUGGCAGGUAAUGGCCGCUCCUUCUCCCCUGCCCUUCUGUCUGUUUACCACUGUCUGUCUCUGUGUGUCAUAUCUGUCCGUCUCUCUCUGUUUGUAUGUCAGUCUGCCUGAGCAGUGUAAAUCACUGAUGGGUUUUAUUUCAAACAUCAUUUUUUAAAAGAGUUAUUCAGUUUGUCUUCGUAAGACAGAUUUUUUUUAUCCUCUUGUCAUUGUUUUUGUUACCAUCUAGAAAAAAUAUCCCAUAGUUUGACUUCAUUUCUCCAUCUUUACCCUCCCUCCCCUUUUCAUAUACAUGUAGGAUGGUAAGAUUAUCACAAAGUUUAAAGCAUGCUAAAGCUAACUUGUGGUAUCUGUUUUAAGUAGGUAUUUAGUUGCUGUGACAUGCAUAGAAAUUUUAUAUACAUAUAGGGGUUUUGUCAGAAAGCACAAUUUGAGACUCUCAGGAUCAAACUGACCUUGAUGAUUGUAGUUAAGAUUGCCUCAGUUUGCUGAAAAAAAACCUUCCAGGACAAAUUCCUUUAUAUUGUAAUACUGUUUAUAACAUAUUUCUACAAUCAAAUUAUUGCAAAAUAAAUAACACAUAAUCUGGCAUUUAGGAAAUCUGCUUUGAAAGCCCUGAAAGCAUGCUAGUCACACAAACCUCAACUACUUGCUCUUUUUUUGUGAGCAUUUCUCCUCAGUAAUAACAGCCAUGGCUCUCCACGGUGGACUUUCCAGCCCACAUACUGUUGAGAAGACUUAUCUUUACAAGAACAACAGUCAAACACUUAUACAUCCUGUGCCACUGGUGGUGUUUACACUGUAACUUUUUUAUACUCAUAGUAUUUAGCCGUGUGACAUGAAGAAGAAAACUACAUGGUCCUCAAAGUUUAGGUUGUGCUUUCCUCCUCUUCUGGCCCCCUUUUCCCUCGUGUCCUUCAUUUAAUUUCUCCUCCUCGCCCUUCCUUUUACCCCCUUUUUUAUUCUUUCAUUUUGAGGCCUCCUCAGAGGACUCUGUAAAUCGUUUAACAUCCCAGUUGUCACUUAAACAGUGUGGUCUGGGCCCCCUUCUUUGCUCUGUGUGUAUAGAGGAGAGAGCACGGCCCCCAAAGGUCAACCGGGGCCCCUGGCACUCAGGCGGACACGUCAGGUAGCACCCUAUUUCUUUACACUGGUAUGAUGAACACCAUGGUGUCUUGUUUUUAUAAGUAUUAGAAGUUAAUGACGGUAAUUCAUUUGUAAUGAUAAUACCAUUGCUUAUGGCAGUGUGUGUUUACUGCUGGUUUGUAGUCAUAGGUUUUCUUUAUUACUUUGUCUCCACACACACCUCCCUCCCCUUGGCUUGUGGUCUUAUUCCAUUCUCACAGUAAAGGUAAAGUUAAGACACAUACUUCUGUGGAAUUUAUGUUGUCAGCACAAAAAGAAAUGCUAACCUUGUCACUGCUUCAGAAGGUUGUGAUCCCUGUGCUCAAUUUUGUCGUUUGUCCUCGUUCAUCAACACCAUCGGUGCCUCAGCCAUUCUUAUCAAGAAGGAUCUGUAUCAUUGAGGCCACACUGUCACUAUUUGACACAGCCUUCUCUUUUCAGAAUACUCAACUCCAUGGCGGAGAGUUGGCCUGGCAGCUUUCCUCGAACACUGCGGCAAACAGUUAAAAAACAUGAAAACCAAGACACACAUGAGAUCAAAUCUUUAGUCAGUACUGCAUUUUUUCCAAAUGUGCUCAAGAUUUUAUCAGCGCAGAAGUUGCAUUACUUUUACUAGUAUAGCUUUAUCAAAAUACAGGCAUUUUUCUGUAGUUUCAUACUGCACUAAUGUGUCAAGGUUAAUAGACAAAGAACAUAUUGUUACCGUAUUUUUUAUGCAAGUAUAAUAUGUUCAACUUGUCAGCACUGAGAUAAGCAGAGAUUCAGUGGCUGAGCACCAGAAUUUGUCUUGUAAUUACUUCCAGUUUCACACAGUAAAGUUGUGGUGACAUUCACUCUUGUGGCCUCCCUGUUGGGAAAUAUGGGUUUCCCCUUCACAGGAAGGGGGGUGAACUCCACCAUUUUUUUUCUCUUCCAGCAGUUAAUCUGAAGCAUGUUUGUCUUCCUGAAUGUAGGUCAACCUCGUCUUGAGGAACUGCAUGAUUUUUAGAAGCCUAUAGGGGGCUCAUUAUGAAGCACACGCAGCAGCAUAUUUAGGAGAUUCAUCUCAAGGAAGAGUAAAAAUCAAGGACUGGUUAGUAUGCAUGCACUGCUUAAUUAUCUUCCUAUUUGCAUAUCUUAAUUACUACACAGGCCUUUGUGGUUCAUAUUCAGCAUCAGAAAUAUUUCUGAGGUUACUUUGUUCUAUGUCAUGGAGUCCUGUGAAAAUCUACCUCGACACAUUUCUAUGUAAACAUGGUUUAUUCGUGUUGUGAUCUGUCAACACACAUCAGUUAGUUAUCAGCAUGUCCCACUGAGCUUACCUGUAAAGAGUUGGGUUCAUGAACAUUAAUAACUAUCGUCAAAAGGUGACACCAAAUACUGAUAGGUUUCCACUUCCACUGCCCUUUUGGUGGUAUCUAACUGGCUAACCAGUUUGGCCCAGUAUAUGUAUUUUGGAGCUCGCAGGACAGUCUUUGUUCCACCUCAACUAUUCAUUACCACUUCAUCCUUGUGUUAUCACGACAUCAUCAAACUCCCUCAUUUUAUCUCUAUUGUCCAGAGCUUAGUGUUUGUAAUAUGAAACGACAAGGUUAGCAUUUCCACAUGCCUUUUUUAUUUCUUAUCUUAGUCAAGAGUUUGACUUUCUUCUCUCUCCAACAUGUGGUCUAUGAAAUGAUAAUGACACACAGAUUGUAAAGCUGAGCUGGGAGAGAGGGAGCUGCAAUUUUUGAUUAGGUUGUUUUCUGUUCAGCCAACAUUGACUUUGUUUCAGUUGAUUGAAUGAGUUAAAGGAGGGAUACGUAGAAAAAAAAAAUAUAAGGGAUUGUAAAUAUAAAUUAACUUGACCCAUACAUUUAAAGGGUUUCGGUUUAGAGUUGGAGAAAGAUGACAGAGGGGAUCAAUCCUUCACCUCCCAUCUUUUCUCCACCUACCUGUACAGUAACAUUGGAUUUAGUGGGGUGGUUUUUUGGGGGGGGGUUGGGCUGAAUGUGACUGCUGCUUGUGUGUGACUGUGGUACAGAAAAGCCUGUGUCUAUUUUAGGGCUUUACUGUAAAGCUUUCACCCCUGCGUGAUUGGGUGGGAGACCCCCGCCAUCUGAGCCCCCCAUAUCUGCAGGCUACUAGCUGCAGCGGGGAGGAGCUGGAGGAGCUUUGCCCCUCCCUCGAUUCACCGCCAUCACAGCCACCAAUCCCAUCUGGCUGAUCAAGACGCGACUGCAGCUGGAAACCAGGAACCGAGGGGAACGGCGAAUGAACGCAUAUGAGUGCGUGAAGCGGGUGUACCAGGUGGAUGGCCUGCGAGGUUUUUACAGGGGCAUGUCUGCCUCAUACGCCGGAAUAUCUGAGACUGUCAUACAUUUUGUCAUCUAUGAGAGCAUCAAACGGAAACUCAUGGAGGCCAAGGCCCAAGCCAGCAUGGACGAAGAGGAGGAGUCAGUCAAAGAUGCCUCAGACUUUGUGGGCAUGAUGCUCGCAGCAGCAACCUCCAAGACCUGUGCCACCUCCAUCGCCUACCCUCAUGAAGUGAUCCGCACCCGGCUACGAGAAGAAGGCAGUAAAUAUCGCUCUUUCUUCCAAACUCUGCUGACAGUCCCCAGGGAGGAGGGAUACAGGGCACUGUACCGGGGUCUUACCACCCACUUGGUCAGACAGAUCCCCAACACAGCCAUCAUGAUGUGCACCUAUGAGGUAGUGGUCUACAUGCUUGGACGUUAGCGUGUCUCCUUCCUGUUAAAAGAAAAAAAAAAGACUAAAAAGAAGAGCCCUUUGGUGAGGAAGAGCAAGGACUGAAUGUCCAAAUGAAGACCAAAGGAAAACUGAUGAUACUUGAGAGGACCAGAAGACAAAGAAAAAGGAAGGAGGAAGCCCAUUGUUACCAUAUCAACAUCACCACCUCUAGCUCCCGUAAUCAGACUGUAGACAGAGGGCGCUGUAGCGCACAGGAGAGGUGAUACAGGAUGUGGAAGAAGGUGCAGACAGGAGAGUCAAAGAAAGUUUGGGAAAGUAAGAAAGAGAUUGUAGGCACAGUUAAGUGGCCUUAGCAGAAAGAGGUUUAAUUUGCAUCCUUUUUUUUGAGAACAGUGAAAUUGACUGUUUCACUGUAAGAUAGAGAUUAUAUUGUGAAAGGGGACUGCUUGGAGACAACAAUUGACAGAAAAGAUGAUACAAAAGCUGGUUAAGUUUUAAUUAACACAAGAAAACAUCAUUCACAUAUUUAAUCUACAUAUUCUACAGUCCUCUGAGACAACUGUACGGUGAGAAGAUGGCGGUUAAGGAAUGUUCUUUCAAAGCAGAAGAAAAGGAUAAGAUUUUAAACAAAUACAACAGUAUGUUUUAUUUUAAUCCUCUCUUUGCACUACAGAAAGUGUGUCUUAAAGCAUCCCCCUCCGAAACUCUGCAGUUUAACCCUCUGAAUGGCUGAAGUUCACACUCAGCAGUGAGCUGACAAGAAAACACAGGUGAAAACAAGCCACAUCAACUACCUUAUGCUUAAAGAGCAGGUUAGAAAGCCGACUAAUAUUCAGUGUUUUAUUCUUCUAUAACUUAGUGCCUGGUUGUGACGAGCUUCAGCUGAAGUUGGCCUUCAGUGUUGACAUAAGCAAGGCCAGCUUCUGCCUGCCAGUCAUUACUCAGGACUAACAAAUCUUGUGUGAAAACAUGAGAUCAAGGUGUCUUUUUUGAAAUGUGAAGUGUGAGAUUGUUCAAAAGGUACCAAGAAAAAGUUUCUACCUUUGGAGUGCCACUACUUGAAUAUAACGUGACAGAGUGGGCAACCGUUUCAGUUUCAUCAUCACCCCAUAACCUCUCUGUCUGUGUGUGUGUGUGUGUGUGUGUGUGUGUGUGUGUGUGUGUGUGUGUGUGUGUGUGUGUGUGUGUGUGUGUGUGUGUGUGUGUGUGUGUGUGUGUGUGUGUGUGUGUGUGUGUGUGUGUGUAACAUGUUAAUCACUUUAACUGUGAUGAUCCAUGUACAAGAAUGUAUGUGUGUGUGUGUGCAUCUGCAGUCAUGUGAUCCUGCAUGUAUAAUUCACGUCUACUCCAGAUUUCCCUCCACUAACUAUUAAUCUUUAAAGAAGCUGCGGGUGGAGAGUGUGGAACAGCUCUGUGCAGCUUUCAUUCCCAUUCUCCUGAAGGUACUUUCUUCCAGUGGCUUCCAACUGACCUGAUAACAUGCACUUUUGUGGCCUUUUGGGGCUUGUGCUUUUGCAAUUUAUUGUGUGGACAGUUUCAAUAUGUACAUUGUAAAAGAAAAAAUUGUAUUACUGUAUAUCAAAAUGGUAUUUUGCAGCAACUGUUCCUAAAGCAGAUAUAUUGUACAGUUAAGAGUUCUUGGUAGUUGUGAAGGAUGUCAAUGUGUGUAAAUAAUAUAGAUACUGUAUAUGCAUAUCUUUUUUGGAGGCCCAUGUUUGAUCAUGCUGUAUUUUCAUUUAUGUGCAAUUAACUUUGGACAUUGACUGUUGACACAAUGUUGCUUUGCUGAUUUUUUUCAGUUUUUUUUAUUUUUUAUGUUGCUUUAAGCUGUCAUGCAAACAUUCGUGCAUUCGUGAAAGCUUACAAACACUGACAAAUUCUGUGUUUGUGCAGCAGUGUUUGUCAAUAAUUUUACAACAUUCAUAAAAAAAGUGUUGCAUUUUGUGUAAUUUGAAUGUGUCUGUCAUUGGUGAUGUUUACAUUGUUCUUCAUUUUCUGUCUUUUUCUAGCAACAUAGAUUAAUAACAAGAUUUCAAGUAUUUUAAUGUGAAAGUUCAAGAAACUGGAAGUCUUUCUACAACACUACAUUUACACAGCAAGCUGGUACUGUUAAAGAUGUGAUUCAUUAAGCAAUUGCCUGCCAAUCUGUUACUUAGGAGAGUUUUUUUUAAGAAUCAGCCACCACUUUAAAUCACCAGUUAAAAUCCCUUUAAAAAAGAAUAAAGAAAGGAGUAUCUUUUGGGCAAAUGCUGCAUCUAGGCACCUUAUUUUUUUGUCCUUUUUAAUUUUUUAAGCUAAUUAUUUGAGUGUUGUUCAAAAUGACAUUCAAAAGAACAUUGUGGCUAGAAAAAGCCCUUUCUGUACAACCUCUGAUCUGGAAGCUGAGGUGUCUCCGUGCACUCGCUCUGCUUCAAAUUUAAGGAAAUUACGCCAACAUUU